CGAGCGAGCAUAAGGUAGCUGACUGCAAAUCUGCCGUCAUCGACUUCGAAGGUUCGACUCGAGUGCCAGCGAGAGAACGUUGCCAGAGGCAACGGCCCGAAGGGUGAGGAGCGUUAGCUCCGAAUAAUCCUUCCCUUUUGCA
rnacentral:sRNA from 1 species